rnacentral:rRNA from 2 species
UAAGGUGGUUAUAGCAACGGGGCUCACCUCUUACCAUUCCGAACAGAGAAGUUAAGCCCGUUAGCGCCGAUGGUACUGCAACCCGUGGGAGAGUAGGUCAUCGCCUUUU